GAUUAACGCUGGCGGCGUGCAUAACACAUGCAAGUCGAACGAUGAAACUUAGCAGACUUCUUCGGAAAGACAUUAAGCGGAUUAGUGGCGAACGGGUGAGUCACGCGUGAGUAACCUGCCUUACACAAGGGGAUAGCCUUUGGACACGAAGAAUAAUACCCUAUAAAACCAUAAAAGCACAUGCUAGAACGGUCAAAGUGAUAGCGGUGUAUGAUGGACUUGCGUCUGAUUAGCUAGUUGGUGAGAUAAAAGCUCACCAAGGCAACGAUCAGUAGCCGGCGUGAGAGAGUGUACGGCCACAUUGGGACUGAGACACGGCCCAGACUCCUACGGGAGGCAGCAGUGGGGAAUUUUGCACAGUGGGGGAAAUCCUGAUGCAGCGACGCCGCGUGAUUUAGAAGGCCUUCGGGUUGUAAAAAUCUUUUGUAUAGGAAGAAAAUGACAGUACUAUACGAAUAAGGACCGGCUAAUUACGUG
rnacentral:rRNA from 1 species